rnacentral:rRNA from 1 species
AAUCAACGCUGGCGGCGUGCCUCAGACAUGCAAGUCGAACGCGAAACCUUCCUUCGGGAGGGAGUAGAGUGGCGCACGGGUGAGUAACACGUAGGUAAUUUGCCUUUGGGUGGGGAAUAACUCAGGGAAACUUGAGCUAAUACCGCAUAAUGCAGCGGCUCGACAUCGAGACAGUUGUUAAAGCGGGGAGCAGCAAUGCCCUCGCGCCUGAAGAGAAGCCUGCGGCAGAUUAGCUAGUUGGUAGGUAAUGGCCUACCAAGGCGACGAUCUGUAACCGGCCUGAGAGGGCGGUCGGUCACACUGACACUGACAUACGGGUCA